CAAUAGCGUAUAUUAAUGUUGUUGCAGUUAAAAAGCUCGUAGUUGGAUUUCUGGUGGGAGCGGCCGGUCCGCCGUAAGGUGUGUACUUGGUUGUCUCCUGUCAUCCUUGUGGGAACUGCUCUGGCAUUAAGUUGUCGGGGUUAGGGAACACAUCGUUUACUGUGAAAAAAUUAGAGUGUUUAAAGCAGGCUUAUACCGUUGAAUACAUUAGCAUGGAAUAAUAAGAUAGGACUUUGGCGUCUAUUUUGUUGGUUUGCACACCAAGGUAAUGAUUAAUAGGGAUAGUUGGGGGUAUUCGUAUUUAAUUGUCAGAGGUGAAAUUCUUGGAUUUAUGAAAGACGAACUUCUGCGAAAGCAUUUACCAAAGAUGUUUUCAUUAA
rnacentral:rRNA from 1 species